UACGGGAGGCAGCAGUGGGGAAUAUUGCACAAUGGGGGAAACCCUGAUGCAGCAACGCCGCGUGAACGAUGAAGGCCUUUGGGUCGUAAAGUUCUGUUCUAGGUGAUGAAAACUGACAGUAACCUAGGAGAAAGCCCCGGCUAACUCCGUGCCAGCAGCCGCGGUAAU
rnacentral:rRNA from 1 species